rnacentral:rRNA from 1 species
UGGGGAAUAUUGGACAAUGGGGGGAACCCUGAUCCAGCCAUGCCGCGUGUGUGAAGAAGGCCUUAUGGUUGUAAAGCACUUUAAGCGAGGAGGAGGGUACUGGUAUUAAUACUACCAGCUACUGGACGUUACUCGCAGAAUAAGCACCGGCUAACUCUGUGCCAGCAGCCGCGGUAAUACAGAGGGUGCAAGCGUUAAUCGGAAUUACUGGGCGUAAAGCGCGCGUAGGUGGUUCGUUAAGUUGAAUGUGAAAGCCCCGGGCUCAACCUGGGAACUGCAUCCAAAACUGGCGAGCUAGAGUAGGGCAGAGGGUGGUGGAAUUUCCUGUGUAUCGGUGAAAUGCGUAGAUAUAGAUGGGAAAACCAGUGGCGAAGGCGACCACCUGGGCUCAUACUGACACUGAGGUGCGAAAGCGUGGGGAGCAAACAGG